CCAGGAUGCAGUAGAACCCUUAAAUUUGGAGUGACUGCAGUGUAGUAGCUUUGCUCUCUUAUUUUGGGUAUUGCUGGUGUUCCAUAUACCUGUGUGGUCUGACAAAGAAACUACAGGACCAAAACCUUAUUGUGUUCUGUUUGAUUUUUGUAAUGACUACUCAGUCCUCCAAAUAUCAAUAUAAUGGGAAUAGAGAUACACUCUGAUUACACUCUGAUCCUCUUCUGGCUACGCAACUUGAUUAUGCAUCCCAGUGGAUCCCAAAUAAGAAAUUCUGGUUCCCUUAAAUCAAAAUGCCUGCUUCUUUGUCACAUCAUUAAGAAAAAGCUAGGAAUCUGAUUAAUAGCAGAGCUCCAGGCCUCUUUUGCAAAGACAAGAGAAACUCUACAAAUAAAUCAACAGCCGUUCAGGAAAUGCAAGCCUAAGAGGAGAUAAAGAAAAAGGGCUGGAUGAGUUGAGGUCAAGGAGCUGGAGGAGCCAGAAUGGGACAAAUCUGAGCAAAAGAACUCGCUAGUGGGCCAGUUCCCCAUGUGUGAUCCAACAGAAAAUUAUUAUGAAAGGUCACCAAGUCAUGGCAAAUUGCUUCAGAGCCCAGUGGGCUACAUCCAAAGCCUACUUUCAGUUUUGGAGGCUUUUGUGGGAUUUACCUAUGGUUGUAUCCAAGUAACAGCUAAAUGUCUUUCAGAAGCUUGAUGUAAAAUACACUGAGAUCCACCGAAAAUCUUCUCGUUUAAUUUGGACUUGCCCAAAAUUUUAAUUAAGUUUUCAAGUCAGGCUCUGCCUCCUAUUAGCUCAUGAAGUUGACUUUGUGACACCAAUGUGGCAUGAGACAUUACAUCAGUUAAAUGUGGCUGGAUUGCAUUGACUUGCUCUUGCGCAUCUAUCUACUCUGUGCAUAAUACUGAGAUGUUUGUUAGAGUUUUCCUUCUUCCUGGAGAUACCUACUUAUACGUUCUGUCAGUAUGCGUGCACAUAUAUAGUCUGCUUACAACUACUUGGAACUGUUGUUUUCAUAUCCAAGCAUGUCAUACAUUUAAACUGUGAACAAAUAUAGGAAGCUAUCUUUGACUUCUUAUGCCCAGAAGAAAGAAUAAAAGGAAAAACAUGCGUUUUUGAGUAGGAGAA
rnacentral:lncRNA from 1 species